rnacentral:rRNA from 1 species
AACGAACGCUGGCGGCAUGCCUAACACAUGCAAGUCGAACGAGACCUUCGGGUCUAGUGGCGCACGGGUGCGUAACGCGUGGGAACCUGCCCUUAGGUUCGGCAUAACUCCCCGAAAGGGGUGCUAAUACCGGAUAAUGUCUUCGGACCAAAGAUUUAUCGCCUUUGGAUGGGCCCGCGUUGGAUUAGCUAGUUGGUAGGGUAAAAGCCUACUAAGGCGACGAUCCAUAGCUGGUCUGAGAGGAUGAUCAGCCACACUGGGACUGAGACACGGCCCAGACUCCUACGGGAGGCAGCAGUGGGGAAUAUUGGACAAUGGGCGAAAGCCUGAUCCAGCAAUGCCGCGUGAGUGAUGAAGGCCUUAGGGUUGUAAAGCUCUUUUACCCGGGAUGAUAAUGACAGUACCGGGAGAAUAAGCUCCGGCUAACUCCGUG